rnacentral:rRNA from 1 species
CCUACGGGGGGCUGCAGUGAGGAAUAUUGGUCAAUGGGCGCUAGCCUGAACCAGCCAAGUAGCGUGAAGGAUGACUGCCCUAUGGGUUGUAAACUUCUUUUAUAUGGGAAUAAAGUGCAGUAUGUAUACUGCUUUGCAUGUACCUUAUGAAUAAGGAUCGGCUAACUCCGUGCCAGCAGCCGCGGUAAUACGUAGGGGGCAAGCGUUAUCCGGAUUUACUGGGUGUAAAGGGGGCGCAGACGGCAGCGCAAGCCAGGAGUGAAAGCCUGGGGCCCAACCCCGGAACUGCACUUGGAACUGGGCGGCUGGAGUGCAGGAGGGGCAGGCGGAAUUCCUGGUGUAGCGGUGAAAUGCGUAGAUAUCAGGAGGAACACCGGUGGCGAAGGCAGCCUGCUGGACUGCGACUGACGUUGAGGCCCGAAAGCGUGGGGAGCAAACAGGAUUAGAUACCCGAGUAGUC